rnacentral:rRNA from 1 species
GCAAGUCGAACGAGAAAGCUCUUCGGAGUGAGUACAGUGGCGCACGGGUGAGUAACGCGUAGGUGAUCUGCCUUUUAGUGGGGGACAACAUCGGGAAACCGGUGCUAAUACCGCAUAUGAUAGAUGACAUUGAAAAAGUUUAUCAAAGAGGGCUUUCGGGCUCUCGCUAGAAGAGGAGCCUGCGUGACAUUAGUUUGAUGGUGGGGUAACGGCUUACCAUGGCGAUGAUGUCUAGCUGGUCUGAGAGGAUGAUC